rnacentral:rRNA from 1 species
CCUACGGGUGGCAGCAGUGAGGAAUAUUGGUCAAUGGACGCAAGCCUGAACCAGCCAUGCCGCGUGCAGGAAGACGGCUCUAUGAGUUGUAAACUGCUUUUGUACGAGGGUAAACGCAGAUACGCGUAUCUGUCUGAAAGUAUCGUACGAAUAAGGAUAGGCUAACUCCGUGCCAGCAGCCGCGGUAAUACGGAGGAUUCAAGCGUUAUCCGGAUUUAUUGGGUGUAAAGGGUGCGUAGGCGGUCGGAUAAGUUAGAGGUGAAAUCCCGAGGCUCAACUUCGGAAUUGCCUCUGAUACUGUUCGGCUAGAGAGUAGUAGCGGUAGGCGGAAUGUAUGGUGUAGCGGUGAAAUGCUUAGAGAUCAUACAGAACACCGAUUGCGAAGGCAGCUUACCAAGCUACUUCUGACGUUGAGGCACGAAAGCGUGGGGAGCAAACAGGAUUAGAUACCCCAGUAGUC